rnacentral:rRNA from 1 species
GAUGAACGCUGGCGGCGUGCCUAAUACAUGCCAGUCGAGCGAACAGACGAGGAGCUUGCUCCUCUGACGUUAGCGGCGGACGGGUGAGUAACACGUGGAUAACCUACCUAUAAGACUGGGAUAACUUCGGGAAACCGGAGCUAAUACCGGAUAAUAUAUUGAACCGCAUGGUUCAAUAGUGAAAGACGGUUUUGCUGUCACUUAUAGAUGGAUCCGCGCCGCAUUAGCUAGUUGGUAAGGUAACGGCUUACCAAGGCAACGAUGCGUAGCCGACCUGAGAGGGUGAUCGGCCACACUGGAACUGAGACACGGUCCAGACUCCUACGGGAGGCAGCAGUAGGGAAUCUUCCGCAAUGGGCGAAAGCCUGACGGAGCAACGCCGCGUGAGUGAUGAAGGUCUUCGGAUCGUAAAACUCUGUUAUUAGGGAAGAACAAAUGUGUAAGUAACUAUGCACGUCUUGACGGUACCUAAUCAGAGAGCCACGGCUAACUACGUG